UAUUGAAAUAAAAACACGGUUGGAGAUUUGAGCUGGCCAUCCUGAGGAUGGCAUGUGCACAUCUCUUACUGUUUAUUAUCCCACCUGUGCAUGAUUUGUAGGCUGCCUAUUAGGUGUGUCUAUGUGUUUUAUAUAUACACAUGUAUUGUCUGUAGAAUGUUGGUAAAAAAAAAUAUUACAACUUUCAACAAUGGAUCUCUUGGUUCUCGCAUCGAUGAAGAACGCAGCGAAAUGCGAUAAGUAAUGUGAAUUGCAGAAUUCAGUGAAUCAUCGAGUUUUUGAACGCACCUUGCGCUCCUUGGUACUCUGAGGAGCAUGCCUGUUUGAGUGUCAUUAAAUUAUCAAAAUUGUCACGAUAGUGGUGAUUUUGGAUUAUGGGAGUUGCAGGACCGUUGUUAGAGGGUCAAGCUCUCCUGAAAUGGAUUAGUAGAGCAAAAUGGAACUCUGUUGGUGUGAUAAGGAAAUUGAUCGUCAGAAAGAGCAACCAAAAGGCUUUGCUAUGUUGUUAUGAAAUGAUUUUUGAAAAUUG
rnacentral:misc_RNA from 1 species